CGGGGUUUAGGAAAAGUUUUUUUUUCCGGGUUGAAAGAUUGAUCUCGCGGGCCUAUCAGCUUGUUGGUGAGGUAAUGGCUCACCAAGGCGACGACGGGUAGCCGGCCUGAGAGGGCGACCGGCCACACUGGGACUGAGACACGGCCCAGACUCCUACGGGAGGCAGCAGUGGGGAAUAUUGGGCAAUGGAGGAAACUCUGACCCAGCGACGCCGCGUGCGGGAUGAAGGCCUUCGGGUUGUAAACCGCUUUCAGCAGGGAAGAAGCGAAAGUGACGGUACCUGCAGAAGAAGCACCGGCUAACUAUGUG
rnacentral:rRNA from 1 species